rnacentral:lncRNA from 1 species
CAAUCUAUAUUGUUUAUUAAAAUAACGGACACAAACUCGAAUUCGAUAAAAAUACAAAUAUUCAAACAGUUAUCAUUCUGCGAAAGACAGUUUACAGCAUGGAGCCAUCAAGGUGAGCAGACUAACACCAAUCAAGCCCUGAUGACAUGAAACAUAUUGUUAACUAUUUUCAAAGCCGAAGCAUUGGGGGAGCAUCAUUACAUUUGAGAAAGCAGCAAAAAUUGACAAUACAAGAAGAGUAGGUAUACACGUGUAGAUAUUGGAGACGAAGUCCGAGUUAGGGACAUCAUUGCAACUGCGAAUCAUAUGUGUGUAGCUAAGAUCAGAUACAUUCAUAAAGAUCACCCUUUUUUGUUCGAGGGAUUGGGAGUUUUAAAGCGAUUUCACAGCACCGUCAUGUUUGCGACCUUACAUUCCGACCGAAUUGUAAGCAACGCAUGAAACACGCAAAAUAGUGAUUCAAACACAA